AACGCACGAGACCUGCGGACCUGCGGAGGGAUCAUUAUCAAUUUACAGCGGACUUCGGUCCUGUCUGCACCCUUGUCUUUUGCGUACUAUAUGUUUCCUCGGUGGGCUUGCCUGCCGAUAGGACACUUAUAAACUCUUUUGUAAUUGCAAUCAGCGUCAGAAAACUAUAAUAGUUACAACUUUCAACAAUGGAUCUCU
rnacentral:misc_RNA from 1 species